rnacentral:lncRNA from 1 species
CCUGGGCUGGGUGCAAGGUUGGCGUGCCCCGGCCCCCGCAGGGGGCGCGGCGCACCCAUACGUUGGCUCGCCCCCCAAAGGGGGGCGACAGCCAUAGUCCUCGGCAAGAACCUUACAUUAGGGUUCUGUCCAGUUUUGCGCUUUUUGGUAGAACAUGGACAAGAAUAGAGGCUGUAACAGAGUAUUUGCCUAGUGCAAAAACCCCUGAAGGCAUGCGACACAGAAAAACUAGUAUGUAAAGUGCACCGUCCAGGCCACGAGGCCGCCGCCGCUCUGAGCCGCUCAAAGAGCCAUAAGAGCCAUAAGAGCCAUAAAGUCAAGCUGAAAGCAGAAAGCCACAAAGCGGAAUCCUCAACCUGUGUUAAUCCUUGCCCUGCCCGUGCCGGCGUGCCGUGUCCCUGCCUCCUGUCGCCUCCUGUCUCCCCCUGAUUCCUGUCGUUCCUGUCUCCUGUCGCCUGGUGCUGCACAUCCUCUCCUGCCAGUUCAACACGCUGUAUAACUCCUUGCACCUGCAUGCCGCGCGUUUCAAUCCCAAACUAUACAGUGCCUGACUUCGCAGCCCCACAAAGGGCGAGCCAUCGCGCUGCGAAGCUGGGAGGUUUCAGAAAGGGGGGGUCGACGCCAAGUUGAUCCACACACGUUCCCGGCCCCCGCCGACUAGACGCAGCCAGUAUUCAAGCCAUCAGUUAUACAAAGUCACUGUACACAAGAAGGAAGUGGCCCCGGCGACGUAGAUCCGUCACCCGACUCGAUUCAGGGAACCGCGAUCGCGAAGGUAACUGUGAUGCAACAGGUUGAACACACUCAAGCAUAUGCCAUGAAAUCCUCAGUUGCAAGAAAGACAUGUUAGAUGCCGAUCUUAUAGCAGACACUCCCGCUGGUCGAAUUAGAUUUCUUAACAUAAAAAUGGCUCCAAUUUGGGCACAUAUGUACCUGUCAGAAGCCUCGCGGACGCGUGGGCUGCGAGCGCGAGCAUUUGCCCUUAAUACAGCCGCGCUGCCAGCCCCAAUAAGUUAGAGCUGUACAUCUUAGGAAUUGGUAUCUAUUUAUCAAGCCAGCCUGGAGUAGGAAGACGGUUUCGCCGCAACGAAGUUCUUGCCAGCCCCGUUCCGUUUGUUGUUGCUGCCGUUUUGUUCAAUACCUGCAGACUGGGGUGCAUGCGGUAUAUAAAAUAUAGCAGCGAUGCUGAGACUCUGUUAUCAUUACAUUUGCAAAACGUUUAGGGCUGAACGGCUUUGCCGCAACUUACCAGGCGACGUCCAACCGUCCGACGUCCAACGCACAGCCCCGACCCCCCCCCCCCCAGGUUGUGCGCAAUGCCAGCAUCCUCAAUACCUUUGGCCCAACGUAUGUUACGACUCUGGCACUCCAUAUUAUCAUACUCAGACUUCAGUCGCCAUUCCUAUACCAGCCUCCUUUCACCUCAGCUCUACGCCACGC